GACAGAGGGUGCAACCGUUGCUCGGAAUCACUGGGCGUAAAGGGCGUGUAGGCGGGCAGGAAAGGCAGAUGUGAAAUCCCUGGGCUCAACCCAGGAACUGCAUUUGAAACUCCCUUUCUUGAGUGUCGGAGAGGAAAGUGGAAUUCCUGGUGUAGAGGUGAAAUUCGUAGAUAUCAGGAGGAACACCGGUGGCGAAGGCGGCUUUCUGGACGACAACUGACGCUGAGACGCGAAAGCGUGGGGAGCAAACAGG
rnacentral:rRNA from 1 species